rnacentral:RNase_P_RNA from 1 species
CCAGGCCGGCCAAGACGGCCGCCGGGCCGGGGCCAGUCCCCGGCCGGGAGGAAAGUCCGGGCUCCACAGGGCGCGAUGCUGGGCAAUUCCCAGCGGGGGCGACCCCGGGCAAGCGCAACAGAAAGCAGACCGCCGGCCCAAGGGCCGGUAAGGGUGAAACGGCGAGGUAAGAGCUCACCGGCCGGUUGGGCGACCAACCGGGCCAGGCAAGCCCCAUCGGGAGCAAGACCAAAUAGGGGGACGCAGGCUGCCCGCCUAGUCCCCGGGUUGGUCGCUUGAGCGCCGGGGCAACCCGGUGCCUAGAGGAAUGGCCGCCGCCCCCCACCGCCCUCGUAACCGGUGGCGGGGCACAGAACCCGGCUUACCGGCCCCCUGGCCGC